CUGGCUGUGGCGCAGUUUGGUAGCGCGCCAGAAUGGGGUUCUGGAGGUCGCAGGUUCAAUUCCUGUCAGCCAGACCA
rnacentral:tRNA from 2 species